rnacentral:rRNA from 1 species
CGAUAGCGGCAGACGGGUGAGUAACGCGUAACCAAUCUACCUUACCGACCGGGAUAACUAGCCGAAAGGUUAGCUAAUACCAGAUACGAUCAUCGAGCGGCAUCGUUUGAUGAUGAAAGCAGCAAUGCACGGUUUGAGGAGGUUGCGACCCAUUAGCCAGUUGGCGGGGUAACGGCCCACCAAAGCAACGAUGGGUAGCUGGUCUGAGAGGAUGAUCAGCCACACUGGGACUGAGACACGGCCCAGACUCCUACGGGAGGCAGCAGUGGGGAAUAUUGGACAAUGGGCGCAAGCCUGA